rnacentral:tmRNA from 1 species
GGGGGCGACCUGGCUUCGACGUGGGUCGUGAAACCCGAGGUGCAUGCCGAGCUGCAGUCAUCUCGUAAAACUGUUUGCAAAACGUAUAGUUGCCAACGACGACAACUACGCACUCGCCGCUUAAAAACCUGCCGUAGUGCCCUCCGCCCGGAGCGUGCCCGUGCGCGCCGGAACCCGGGGGUCGACCCACGCGGGAUCGCGGUGAAGCACGCCUGGUGUGGAGCCGUUAAAACUCAUCCAGGCUCGCUGAGGGUCUUCCCCGCCGACCGGGUAGCCAACAGUUAAAGCAAAGGCCGGCUAAGCAUGUAGAGCCGAAGGCGGAGGACUUGCGGACGCGGGUUCGAUUCCCGCCGCCUCCACCA